GGGUGUGAGGGAGACCUGCCUGUGACAUCUGUCACCCCAUUGAUCACCAGGGUUGAUUUGGCUGAUCUGGCUGGGUAGGUGGGUGUCCCCAUCCUCCCUCCCCACUCCACGUGCCCCGCUUCCGAAGCUGCACACUGGCUCUAAGAGGACAACCUUCCCCGAUGGAGGAGGACCAUUCUUCGGUCAAGGGUAGAGGAGUAGCUGCCCACUCGCCUCCUCAAACCUCAAGAUGUCAAGCUCUCAAGAUUAAGAGAGAGAAUAAUUUUGACAUUACCAAUUCCUUGCAAAACACCGAAUCAAUAUUU
ensembl:misc_RNA 7SK 7SK RNA